GUCCCUGUAGCGCAAUGGAUAGCGCGUUGGACUUCUAAUCCAAAUGUAGUGGGUUCACUCCCACCUGGGAUG